rnacentral:lncRNA from 1 species
AGGCAACAAGAUUUUGGGUUUUUAAAUGCAACUCUUAUGUUAUACGUUGUAGGACAUAAACGUUACUUUAAUUGCAACUGAGAAAUUUAGAUUUUUAGAUGGGACUUUUAUGUCAUUUUAUGGUUAGCCGGUUUUAUGCUUAGGAAAUGGAGGUAUACAUGAAUCUUGGGAUCUUUAACAUUUCUAAAUCAUGUUUUGGUAUGUAUUCACUCUUCUUUUUUAGUUUUGAUGGGUUUGAUAUGUUGGACGUACUAUCCUUUUGUGAACAUUUGAUAUACAAAUAUUAUUAGAUGAUCAAUGUAUUAUGAGUUAUUCCAGAAACAUUACAGAAAAAUGAGUUAAAUAUAAUAUGAUUGUUAUAUUUAUGGACAAAAUAUAAAUAGGUUAAUCUUAUUAAUUCAUAAACAUUACAAAAAUCAACAACUAAAACCAAUCAUAUCUUCCACAAUAAUUUAC